rnacentral:pre_miRNA from 1 species
AUACUACUCCCUCCGUCCGGAAAUACUUGUCAACAAAAUGUAUGAAAAUGGAUGUAUUUAGAACUAAAAUACAUCUAGAUACAUCCAUUUCAAUGACAAGUAUUUCCGGACGGAGGGAGUACUAA